GGGUGAGUAACACGUGGGUAAUCUGCCCUCGGUUCUGGGAUAGCCCGGGGAAACCCGGAUUAAUACCGGAUGGCCUCUCGAGCUCUCGGGCUCGUGAGAAAAGGUAGCUUCGGCCUCCGACCGAGGAUGAGCCCGCGGCGGAUUAGCUUGUUGGCGGGGUAACGGCCACCAAGGCGACGAUCCGUAGCUGGUCUGAGAGGACGAUCAGCCACACUGGGACUGAGCAACACGGCCCAGACUCAUACGGGAGGCAGCAGUGGGGAAUCUUGCGCAAUGGGCGAAAGCCUGACGCAGCGACGCCGCGUGCGGGAGGAAGGCCUUCGGGUUGUAAACCGCUUUCAGGAGGGAAGAAGCCACUCGGGUUAAUAGCCCAGAGGGUGACGGUACCUCCAGAAGAAGCCCCGGCUAACUACGUGCCAGCCGCCGCGG
rnacentral:rRNA from 1 species